rnacentral:rRNA from 1 species
AUUGAACGCUAGCGGCAGGCCUAACACAUGCAAGUCGAACGAGUGGCGGACGGGUGAGUAAUGUCUGGGAAACUGCCUGAUGGAGGGGGAUAACUACUGGAAACGGUAGCUAAUACCGCAUACCAUCGGAUGUGCCCAGAUGGGAUUAGCUAGUAGGUGGGGUAACGGCUCACCUAGGCAACGAUCCCUAGCUGGUCUGAGAGGAUGACCAGCCACACUGGAACGUAGACACGGCCCAGACUCCUACGGGAGGCAGCAGUGGGGAAUAUUGCACAAUGGGCGAAAGCCUGAUGCAGCCAUGCCGCGUGUAUGAAGAAGGCCUUCGGGUUGUAAAGUACUUUCAGCGGAGAGGCGUUACCCGCAGAAGAAGCACCGGCUAACUCCGUGCCAGCAGCCGCGGUAAUAC